rnacentral:rRNA from 1 species
GGACCCGCACAAGCGGUGGAUGAUGUGGUUUAAUUCGAUGCAACGCGAAAAACCUUACCUACCCUUGACAUGCCAGGAACUUGCCAGAGAUGGCUUGGUGCUCGAAAGAGAACCUGGACACAGGUGCUGCAUGGCCGUCGUCAGCUCGUGUCGUGAGAUGUUGGGUUAAGUCCCGCAACGAGCGCAACCCUUAUCAUUAGUUGCUACGCAAGGGCACUCUAAUGAGACUGCCGGUGACAAACCGGAGGAAGGUGGGGAUGACGUCAGGUCAUCAUGGCCCUUAUGGGUAGGGCUACACACGUCAUACAAUGGCCGGUACAGAGGGCUGCCAACCCGCGAGGGGGAGCUAAUCUCAGAAAACCGGUCGUAGUCCGGAUCGUAGUCUGCAACUCGACUGCGUGAAGUCGGAAUCGCUAGUAAUCGCGGAUCAGCUUGCCGCGGUGAAUACGUUCCCGGGUCUU